rnacentral:lncRNA from 1 species
AUGAUUUGAAUCAUGUGGCCAAUGCUUGGUCACCUCUCUGAUAUCCUAUCCUCAGCCCUCGGAAGAUGCAGACGUGAUUAAUGUCACCUGUGACCACCAUGUCUCCAGGCAAGACCCCCCCAAACCCGGCAGACAGAGAAACAAAUUAGAUCCAAAGGGAUCCUCCACUGGGCUCUGGAGUUCAGAGGUUCAAGGUUAAAGUGAAAAGAAGGCUGAGCAUGGAGACAACAGGAGACUUCAAGUCCCACUUGACAGUUCCUGGCUAAGUGAUCCUAAACAAGCCUCUUAACCUCUCUGAGACUCAGUAUGCCCAUCUAUGCAAUGAGAAUUUGUAACAAUAAAAUCAAAAAGCCUCCUCUGUCAGGGUUGUGAAGAUUGCAAGUGAUAGCAAUUUGGAAGUACCUCCCACCAUGCCUGGCAUGUAUGUCUGUGUGUUUGUGUGUAUGUAUAUACAUAAAGCAUUGUGUGUCCUGUGUGUGUGUGUGUAUGUAUGUGUGUGUAUAUAUAUACAUAUACAUAUAUAAAUAAAAAUAUAUUAUAUAUAAAUAUAUAAAUAAUAUAUAAAUAUAUUAUAUAUAAAUAUAUAAAUAAUAUAUAAAUAUAUUAUAUAUAAAUAUAUAAAUAAUAUAUAAAUAUAUUAUAUAUAAAUAUAUAAAUAAUAUAUAAAUAUA